GAGUAAAGAUUUCGGUCGCUUUGGGAGGAGCUCGCUUACUAUCAGCUUGUUGGUAGGGUAAUGGCCUACCAAGGCUAUGACGGUUAGGGGGUGUGAGAGCAUGACCCCCAGCAUUGGCACUGAAACACUGGCCAAACACCUACGGGUGGCUGCAGUCGAGAAUCUUCCACAAUGGGGGAAACCCUGAUGGAGCGAUGCUGCGUGCGGGAUGAAGGCCUUCGGGUUGUAAACCGCUUUUGUAGGGGACGAAAUUUUUGACGGUACCCUUUCGAAUAAGAGGUUGCUAACUCUGUGCCAGCAGCAGCGGUAAUACAGAGACCUCAAGCGUUAUCCGGAUUUACUGGGCGUAAAGCGUCUGUAGGGGGUUUAUUAAGUUCCAAGUAAAAUUUCAAGGCUCAACUUUGAAUUCGCUUGGAAAACUAAUAAACUGGAGUCUAGCAGAGGUGCAUGGAACUUGUGGUGUAGGAGUGAAAUCCGUUGAUAUCACAAGGGACACCAAAGGCGAAGGCAUUGCACUGGGCUAGCACUGACCCUGAGAGACGAAAGCGUGGGGAGCAAAACGGAUUAGAUACCCGUGUAGUCCACGCCCUAAACGAUGAAUGCUAAAUGUUCGGGGAUUCGACCCCCUGGGUGUUACAGCUAACGCGUUAAGCAUUCCGCCUGGGAAGUACGGCCGCAAGGCUAAAACUCAAAGGAAUAGACGGGGAUCCGCACAAGCGGUGGAGCGUCUGGUUUAAUUCGACAGUAAGCGUGGUACCUCACCAGGGUUUGACAUCCCUUGACAGCCUUGGAAACAAGGUUUCCUUCGGGCAAGGUGACAGGUGCUGCAUGGUCGUCGUCAGUUCGUGCCGUGAGGUGUUCCGUUAAGUCGGGAAACGAACGAAACCCCUAUUGCAUGUUACAAUUUCUCAUGCAAGACUGCCCGGAUAUACUGGGAGGAAGGUGGGGAUGACGUCAGAUCUGCAUGGUCCUUAUACCCUGGGCGACACAGGCGCUACAAUGGCAGAGACAAAGGGUUGCAAAACCGCAAGGUGAAGCUAAUCCCAAAAACUUUGUCUAAGUUCGGAUUGAAGGCUGCAAUUCGCCUUCAUGAAGCUGGAAUCGCUAGUAAUCGUGAAUCAGCCACGUCACGGUGAAUAUGUUCCCGGAUCUUGUACUCACCGCCCGUCACACCAAGAGAGUUGGUAGCUCCCGAAG
rnacentral:rRNA from 1 species